rnacentral:tRNA from 1 species
AUUCCCACAGUUUAAUAAAUAAACAUCUUAUUUUCAAUAAGAAGAUUAAAUAUAAUUUAUAGGAAUA